rnacentral:rRNA from 1 species
AGAGUUUGAUCAUGGCUCAGGACGAACGCUGGCGGCGUGGAUUAGGCAUGCAAGUCGAACGGUAUAAACCUUUCGGGGUUUAGAGAGUGGCGAACGGGUGAGUAACACGUAGGUAAUCUACCCUCAAAACGGGGACAACCCAGGGAAACUUGGGCUAAUACCGGAUGCGUGCAAGCAAUGUUUUGGCUGUUAAUGCUAUUCACGGAAGUGAGUAGUGUUAAUGGUUGAGAGCAUUAUUUGCAUAAAAGGUGGCAUAUGCUGCCGUUUGAGGAUGAGCCUGCGUCCUAUUAGUUAGUUGGUGAGGUAAUGGCUUACCAAGGCGAUGAUAGGUAGGCGGCCUUAACGGGUGGUCGCCCACACUGGGAUUGAGAGACGGCCCAGACUCCUACGGGAGGCAGCAGUCGAGAAUAGUCUACAAUGGACGGAAGUCUGAUAGUGCGACGCCGCGUGAACGAAGAAUCCCUUCGGGGUGUAAAGUUCUUUUAUACGUGAGCAGUGCCCUUUAUAUGAAUAGUAUAGAGGGAGGGAUUUAAGCGUAUGAAUAAGCAACGGCUAACUCCGUGCCAGCAGCCGCGGUAACACGGGGGUUGCAAGCGUUGUCCGGAAUUACUAGGCGUAAAGUGCAGGUAGGCGGAUAGAUAAGUUUAAGGUUAAAGGCUACGGCUUACCCGUAGUAAGGCGUUAGAUACUGUUUAUCUGGAAUGCGGUUGAGGGAGACAGAAUUCCUGGUGUAGCGGUGGAAUGCGCAGAGAUCAGGAGGAAUACCGAAGGCGAAGGCAGUCUUCUAAGCCGAUAUUGACGCUAAACUGCGAAGGUGUGGGGAUCAAACAGGAUUAGAUACCCUGGUAGUCCACACAGUAAACGAUAAUCACUAGGUGUUGGGUUCGUAUAGGACUCGGUGCCGGAGCUAACGCGAUAAGUGAUUCGCCUGGGGAGUACGAUCGCAAGGUUGAAACUCAAAUGAAUGACGGA